GCUACGGGCGGCAGCAGUGGGGAAUAUUGGGCAAUGGGCGCAAGCCUGACCCAGCAACGCCGCGUGAAGGAAGAAGGCUUUCGGGUUGUAAACUUCUUUUCUCAGGGACGAAGAAAGUGACGGUACCUGAGGAAUAAGCCACGGCUAACUACGUGCCAGCAGACGCGGUAAUACGUAGGGGGCAAGCGUUAUCCGGAUUGAUUGGGUGUAAAGGGCGUGGAGGCGGGAGCGCAAGUCAGAUGUGAAAACUCAGGGCUCAACCCUGAGCCUGCAUUUGUAACUGUGUUUCUUGAGUGCUGGAGAGGCAAUCGCAAUUCCGUGUGUAGCGGUGAAAUGCGUAGAUAUACGGAGGAACACCAGUGGCGAAGGCGGCUUGCUGGACAGUACCUGCCGCUGAGGCACGAAGGCCAGGGGAGCGAAAGGGAUUAGAUACCCCAGUAGUC
rnacentral:rRNA from 1 species